UACGGAGGGUGCAAGCGUUGUCCGGAAUCACUGGCGUAAAGGGCGCGUAGGCGGCUCGGUAAGUAGGGGGUGAAAUCCUGCGGCUUAACCGCAGGGCUGCCUUCUAAACUGUCGAGCUUGAGCACGGUAGAGGCAGAUGGAAUUCCCGGUGUAGCGGUGGAAUGCGUAGAGAUCGGGAAGAACAUCAGUGGCGAAGGCGGUCUGCUGGGCCGUUGCUGACGCUGAGGCGCGCAGCGUGGGGAGCAAACAGG
rnacentral:rRNA from 1 species